GACGAACGCUGGCGGCGUGCCUAAUACAUGCAAGUCGAACGCACUCUCGUUUAGAUUGACGGAGUUUGCUCCUGAUUGAUAAACAUUUGAGUGAGUGGCGGACGGGUGAGUAACACGUGGGUAACCUGCCCUAAAGUGGGGGAUAACAUUUGGAAACAGAUGCUAAUACCGCAUAAAACCUAACACCGCAUGGUGUAGGGUUGAAAGAUGGUUUCGGCUAUCACUUUAGGAUGGACCCGCGGUGCAUUAGUUAGUUGGUGAGGUAAAGGCUCACCAAGACCGUGAUGCAUAGCCGACCUGAGAGGGUAAUCGGCCACACUGGGACUGAGACACGGCCCAGACUCCUACGGGAGGCAGCAGUAGGGAAUCUUCCACAAUGGACGAAAGUCUGAUGGAGCAACGCCGCGUGAGUGAAGAAGGUUUUCGGAUCGUAAAACUCUGUUGUUGGAGAAGAAUGUAUCUGAUAGUAACUGAUCAGGUAGUGAUGGUAUCCAACCAGAAAGCCACGGCUAACUACGUG
rnacentral:rRNA from 1 species